rnacentral:lncRNA from 1 species
CCCCGAGCGGAGCGGGCCCAGGACCCUAUCGGCUGUCGAGCCGGUGCUGCCGCGGCCACCGCCACCGCCCAGGGGCUCCGGGGCUGUGGGGAGCGGCUGAACUCAAUACCGCCUCCGCGCUGACUGGAAGGCACUGCGGCCGCGCCUGCCUGCCCCACCUCGUAAGGGCCUGUGACCUCACGAGGCCAGCCGCCGGGCGCUGCAUUCGAGCGGUGGGGCUCCUGUCCGUGCGCUUUCCUCCCGCAGCCCCGGCCGGGAUUCCGCCCUCCGUCCUUGCCACCCGCUCGCCACUCUUCCCUAAUCGCUGUUCAUUCUCCGAACUUCAGAUUGAAAAGCAUGUACUUGAGUAGCUGUAUUUAAGGAAUUACACCCAAGAAGUCUCAUCUUCCCUGGACUUACGUAGAGGAUAAGAUUCUGAACUUUGAAUUGAUGCUAUAAUGGGAUAAGACUUUGGGGCCUUAGAAGGGGAGAACAAAGGCCAUGAAGGUGUUAAAGGGAAGCAAGCGAUCGACAGCAUUGGUUGGUGACAAACCUGUGGCUGGUCUGUGUAUGAUGGGAUGGAUUCCUCCUGCUCCCAGAAGGCACUGUACUUUCAGUGUUCAGGGCAGCCUUGCCUUAGUGCCUCAAACCUAUCCCUACAUCCUGCAGUAAACUUGGAAAGGUAACACCUCUAACCAUCAGGCCUUCCUCUGAAGCACAGUCAAGUUGCUCUUGGCAACCAUCUCAAUUUUAAUAGUGCAGAUGCCAUGUGCUGUAAAGUCCUAAAAUUUAAAUUCUUUAUUUCUUGACAUCAUUGCCUCAAAAAA